CUGCAGAAGAAGAACUGCAUAUCGCAAGGCAGUCAUCCCAAAAUCAGAGUCUGCAUUUUAGAGACUAUAUUAAGAAGACACCAGGUUUAAUCAAAAGACCUCAUUACAUCGCCAAGCACCAGUGGACCACAAAGGGUGUUAGUGACCAAGGGAUCAUGGGUCUUUAGUGUUUUACUAAAGGUCACCGGAGCCACCAGAUCCAGUCUGUACCCAGCCUAGAUAGUGGAUCAGCAUCUUGAGACGACCUCUACAGCCCUAAAUGUCAGCGGGGACCACGUCAACUUGAGCCUCAGAGGUGGAUCAUCAGUGAAGAACUUGUCACCUGGACCCAGAUAAGUCCUUGAGGGUGCUUUUGCUUGAACCCCUGUAGAAUCGGGCCUGGGCUUGGCUAAACGCUCCAAACUGCAACACAGCUGACAUCAGGGAUUCUCUUAUCUUCUUAUCUUCUGAAUGAGUGACACUUGUCUGCACAAUUACUGUCUGCUCUAAUUUUUGGCAUUAUAUAUGCACACAGCCUUAUCACUAACAGCAGUUAUUGAAUGUAAACCUGUAAAAAGAAAUAAUUUUGUAAAAUGUUUACAUUUUGUACUUUUAUUGUUGCUGCUGUCUUACAUUUACUUACUUGUUGUUAGUGAUCAAGGCCCUUAAGUGCAAUUAAGGGCAAAAAGCUUUUGUUUUAAAAGGUUAAAAAAGACUUAUUUCAUUUAUCGAGAUGUUUUGUUUUUGUGAUAUUGUGGAAAAUGUUGUUUGUUUGUAUUUUUUUAAAUUCUACAGUGUGUAGAAAUUCAUUUUCCACAAUAAACAAUAUAUUGUUGUAUUUUAUUGUUGUGUUAAAUGGAAGAGGUUAAGAAAAUUAUUUUCAAUAAAAGUCAUUACUUUAGUUUUUGAGUUACAUGUACUCAAUGUUUUUAAGGCAAUCGGUUACCAUAAAAUUAAAAAGUUUUGAGCCACAUGAUUUUGAGUAUUGUGUAAUUAAAGUAUUUGAGUUAACUGCUACUAAGUAAUAUUGAGUUAAGUAAUACUCAUAUUUUCUGAGUUUAUAUAACUUAAUUUUUAUAAGUACUGUUAACUUAAUACAAUGGCACAAAUUAUUAAAAACUCAUAAUAAUAAGUCAUAAUAACUUAAAAUAUUUGAGUAGACCCAGUGAAAAAAAAUUUAAGUAAACAACAAUCAAAAACUACAAGUAGUAUGUAAUAGAAACUUUUAACUUCUGAGAACUUAUUAUUUUAAUCGGUUGCCUUAAUUUUUUUGAGUUCUGUUAACUUAUCGGGGUUUACAGUGUACCUGACCAUAGAGAGAUACACAGCAGCAUGUGAGAGAUUUGCAGCAUGCCAGAGCCUCUCACACACAGUGUGGGGGUUCUUCUGAAUACAGAAUCUUCCAGUAGUGUUUUGUCACUUCGCUUUUAUACCCAGACCAAAACAAACAAAUCUUCCAAUCAGUUGUAAAAACAUAAAGACCUUUUGGUUUGUCAGGAGAUCUUGUGAUCCAGCGUCACACCUGGCUGGAGAUUCUCACCCAACCCUAAGGGGAGAACACACCCCUCAGCAGCAAAACACAAUUCAACAAAAGUUUUCAAUCUUUCUCAUAUAUAAGUGACUGCUGUAAAAUUGAGACCAUUUUACAUUUUGCAUGGAGACCUUUAGAAUGAUAUCAAACAUGAAAGGGAAAAAUGAACAUAUUCACAAGAUAUGUUAUGGUUCCUGUAGCCAUUUAUGCGCAUGCACACUAUUCAAAAGCGUUGCUUUAUUAAGAAGAAAAUGCAAGAAGCAAUUUUUAAGGUACAGCAAUGGGCAGAUAAAUGGGCUUUUAAAGGAGUCAUACUAAGUUUACUUUUACAUGUUUUUUAAACAUCAAUGUGUGUUGCUAGUGUAUGUAAAAAUCUACCCUGUAAUGGUAAAAAUCCAUGCAGUGGUUUUUAAUUAAUCUGUAAAAAAUAAUAUCCCCUUUUUCAAAUCGAGCCAUUCUCAGAUGCCUGUCAUUGUUGCGUCACACCCACAGAGGCCGCUCCAACGAUAGCUGAUUGACAUUAGCAUCUUACCUCUGAUCAGUUGUAACAGUCCAACCUUUAUGUUUUGAUGGAUGUAAGUUAAACAAGAAUUGAGCGAUUGAGGUGUUGUGUUGCUGGAUGUAAUAAUGAACAUAGUGGUUGUCAUUUACUCCCGAAAUCUGAGCUGCUGAAGAUGCAGUGGAUUACAUUUGUUUGUGAAGGGAAUGCACCUCCUGAUCUACAUAUAUCCAUCUAUGUUCACGCAAAUCAUCCGUGAUCCAGCUUCACUUACA